rnacentral:rRNA from 1 species
GACGAACGCUGGCGGCGUGCUUAACACAUGCAAGUCGAACGGUGAAGCGCCUUCCUUUUUGGUGGGUGUGGAUGAGUGGCGAACGGGUGAGUAACACGUGAGUAACCUGCCCCCUUCUUCUGGAUAACCGCAUGAAAGUGUGGCUAAUACGGGAUAUUCUGGGUCUGUCGCAUGAUGGGUCUGGGAAAGAUAUUGUUUCGGUGGGGGAUGGGCUCGCGGCCUAUCAGCUUGUUGGUGGGGUGAUGGCCUACCAAGGCGGUGACGGGUAGCCGGCCUGGGAGGGUGGACGGUCACACUGGGACUGAGACACGGCCCGGACUCCUACGGGAGGCAGCAGUGGGGAAUAGUGCACAAUGGGCGCAAGCCUGAUGCAGCGACGCCGCGUGAGGGAUGGAGGCCUUCGGGUUGUGAACCUCUUUCGCCAGUGAAGCAGGCCUGCCUCGUUUGUGGGUGGGUUGACGGUAGCUGGAUAAGAAGCGCCGGCUAACUACGUG